CGGUUAAUCCUGGGUUAAUCAGCUGUCUCUGCUUCCUUCGUCGAUGUGGUUAUCUCUUGAUGUCCAAACUUACGAUGAUUCCUUGAAUUCAAUGUUUAUGAUAUCUUGAUCUUGAAUAAAGGUAUGAUGACCAUAACAAGUUGUAUCUUCGGUGAAAAUUUUAAUGUUUUUCUGUUAUAUAAAGCUCUUUACCUUGACAUACCUGAUUGAAAUAAAGUAAAUAGAAACUAUGGAAUUUUGAAUCUCAGAAAUUAUAAUUCCUCACAGAAAAAACUG